rnacentral:misc_RNA from 1 species
GACUAUAGCUCCCAGUGCCUUAGCCUCCAAUUGGUGUCCCUUCUCUUCCAAGAAGAGCUUUGUUUCCUCAGCAACCUCUAUGUGAUCACCAUCGAUCACGGUGAAGUUCUCAUACUGCACAAUGUUAGGUAUUAACUUGGUGGUAGACCCUUGGACUCUGAACUGCAGUUAAAGGUUCCAUUCCCAAGACAAAAUGGUUAAUAAAAACUUGUGUUACUGCUGGAAUGAUGUCCAUUCCUCCACUGCCUCCCAAGACUCCUACCAGCUGAUCAUCCUUAGUAACAAUAAUGGGGGUCAUGGAAGAUAGGGGUCUCUUGUUGGAUUCAAUAAAAUUUGC